AAUGGGCUGUUUAUGCCCACUAAUGAUCGUGAUCCAUAGUUGAUAACCGUUUAUAACGGUUAGAUAUGUAGGUUUCGCACAUUCUGGCCUUAUGUGAUCGUGAAAAGAUAAACCGACUAUAUGUCGAUAGGUCCGAAUGAGUAUCGAUCGGUAACUCUAAUAUGUCGAUGGUCAUCAGUCGGAUAUUAACUAAGUCAUCGUAGUUGUCCAUUGAUGGUUGAGAACAGCGGACUAUCGGUCGGUUAGCGGAUUGUGAGUCGGCAUACUGUGUUUAUAAGAUCGAUGUAGAGUUGGAGUCGAG
rnacentral:lncRNA from 1 species